rnacentral:rRNA from 1 species
GGCCCAGACAGCCAGGAUGUUGGCUUAGAAGCAGCCAUCAUUUAAAGAAAGCGUAAUAGCUCACUGGUCGAGUCGGCCUGCGCGGAAGAUGUAACGGGGCUAAACCAUGCACCGAAGCUGCGGCAGCGACACUGUGUGUUGUUGGGUAGGGGAGCGUUCUGUAAGCCUGCGAAGGUGUCCCGUGAGGGAUGCUGGAGGUAUCAGAAGUGCGAAUGCUGACAUAAGUAACGAUAAAGCGGGUGAAAAGCCCGCUCGCCGGAAGACCAAGGGUUCCUGUCCAACGUUAAUCGGGGCAGGGUGAGUCGACCCCUAAGGCGAG